CCUGAAGAUUGGAAGUGUCAUUAUUUGGAAUAAUGCCCAACAUAAUAAGUACAAAACAUAAAACAGUACGUCACUUGCCAUACCGGUAUAACUGCUAUUUAUUUUGGUCAGAUAUCUGGUAACAACACACACCAACUAUCCUUCCUCCUGUACAAGGAAGCAAAUACUGUGCACAGUUAAGGUUGCAUGCACUCCCCAAGUUCACAGCGCAUACUUAUUUCUCCAUGUCGGUCAGGGCAGCAGUUGAUGAAAACUGUGCAUGACCUCUGAUGCUUCCUGAGGCCACAACUCCACCGCUACAUCGAUUGCAACUUGACCCCUUCGUCGGGCUGCUUAACAGGGACCACUUAAACACGUUGUAUUCAACGACUUUGAGGAGGAACUGAAAAUCAUUUGAUGAUCUCCAAGAUCUGGUGGUUUUGCCAUAUACAAUUCACUGAAAUCACCAGACGUCAUCUGUGUCUCAACUCUCCCGCCGUUAAUUCACACUGACUGAAGCCGAUUCACCACGCAACUUAAAUAUGAGGACCCAGACAUGCAGCUGAUGCUUUCCAGGAUUGUUUUUAAAGAUUUUGAGCAUUUCCUAAAACACUUGGGAGGAUGCUGCCCUCCGUUCACGGUACCACAGCCAUGUCUCCAUCCCAGAGAAACUCAAUAAUGCAUGUAGACUGCAGUGUUUAAUCUUGCAUCUCAUAUCUCUGCGUCAGUAGCCAGUGGACAGUAAUUAUCUUUGUUGUGCUCUGAUGCUCGAGGUAAACUAGACUUUUUUUUUUAAUGCUGAAAAAUCAAUUUCUUUGUGUGCUGAAGCUCCAUGGUGUCCAUCAGAGGUGAUGACAGCAUGGAGUCGUCCUGAAACUCACGGAGCAGAAAGAUGACGGUGAAUGAGGUCCACUUCCAUGUUAAAUCCAGGACAAGGUUAAUGGGAACCCGGUGUACAAUGUCAGGACACAAACUGAAGUCAGAAGCGAGUACUAUUAAACAUACACCAUUUUGGGGAAGUCGAGGUUGCUUGACUUAUUUUGCUGCCGCUCAUGAAAGUCUGCGUCCUGUGAAACAGGAAGAGAUGACUGACUUUUGAACCCUGGGAGGAUGGGUGUCGUCAUCGGUUCUAAUCAACCCUUCCACACCAGGCCGGCUGCUACACUGCAGCAUGAAUGACCAGCUUUCUGCCAUCUGCAAAGUAACACUGGACAACUAGAAAAGGGCAACAGCCCCAGAAAAGAACAAGGAGGCCAGUUCCUCUCCGACCAGUGUUCAGCAGGGGACAGGUGACAGCUAAGAGGAUCCACCCAGAGGCUUACACUGCCAGCGUCCUGCCAUUUGAUGAGGAGGAGGCUCCGCCUGUCCAACUGCCUUCCUCGCUGAGCCCCCACAGGGAGCCUGCCGGGGUGCAGCCGUGCAAAAUGGCUCCAAAUGAGAGGACUGAUACGAUGCUGACUCAGACCAGAACUAAAUCUCCCUGGUAACCUUGAAACAUGUUCAGAUCAAAGUCACUUUGCUCGUAUCUAUGCGGGACAACUUGUCUUUCCAAUGGACAUAUAUGGACCCUCUUGUAUGGAGCAACGCAAAUUGGAAGUACCUUUAGGAAUAACUUUUUCGUUAGCUGCAUUUUACGUCGUAUUGCUCAGCGAAGCCGGCUGAUUGUUGACUGCUGUCAGCUAUUUGCUGAAGCUGAUGCUUUGUGGACAGAGAGUCAUUUAAGGAGUCACAGUAUAGAUCUGCACAACAACAGGACAAACAACGGGAGCUUAAGUUUAAAUCCUGGCAGACGAACAGCAUCGGGAGAUAUUAACAUGGAUCUAGUGACUCAGUUUUACCACACUGUUGUGAUGCUGCUAACAGACUGUCAUCAUCGUUAUUCAGCGUCAAGUAAACAAAGGUUAUUCACUCCUCCAAUGCAUUUAAAAGGGAAAACAACAAAGCUUACUUCUACCAUUUUUUUGUAUCUCUCUACGGUUUGGUUUCACAACAGUAAUGGUGUUUUUUGAGGUCAGAGGUCACGUUUGGCAUAACCCCUGACUAUUUGAAUAGACAACAAGCACCAAAUCUGAAUCCACAACAUGACACACACACACACACACACACACACACACACACACACUUUCUCCAGCUCACUUGGCUCUUGUUUGGUGCAGGAAAUAAAAGUAGGCCGAUCGAUUCAAGAGCCUCCUCUGACUCUGCUCCCUCCUACUCAACCUAGAAUAGUACACCAGAAGAAGACCUUCAUGGGACAAGGCACCCCUCGGUUGUACAUUGUUGCACUGAAAAAAGCAGAACUCUAGUGCAUGUAGCUAUUUCUGGAUCAUGGACAUAUCAGUUUAUUUCCAUGAUCUUGGACUAAAACAAGUACACAAGUAUAUUUGGAUUUGGUUUCACAUAUUAAACGUUUCAAACAGCUGUAUGGCUGCUCUGACGAAUGACAGAAACAUCAUGAGGACUGAUCAUCACAGGCGUCCAGACGAGAUCAAAAUGUGCUCAUAUCCUGGAUGUCGAAGUAUCCAAACUGGAGCAAAACCGGUUCAAUCAAUUAAUCAACUGCAACCAUUUGGAUUACUGAUUAAUCGUUGAAGUCAUUUAUCAACCAAACAUUCUGUGUGUCCACCUUCUUAAAUGUGUCGAUUUGCUAAUUUUUUAAGUUUCACAAUACAGUCCACUAAAUGCAUUUUAGACUUUUGGUCGGACAAAACAAGCAAUGUGAAGGUCAGCGUGCUCGAGGAAAUUAUGAUGUUAGCAGCCAAACUAUUGAACAGAUUAAUCCAUAAUGAAAAUUCAGAAAAUAAAGUUAGCCCUAAUUCACGCAUCUCUUAUCUCUUCUCAUCACUCAGAUACAAAGCACUAACUCCUAACUAAUAGCAGGCAGAUAUGUUGUUCCUAUUCAUAUAUGUAAUUGUUGAGUUGAUUACAUUAUAGAACAUAAUUAAAACCAACUGGCAGUAAUUAAUAAACUACUAGUUUGACUUAGAAAACAUGUCUUCAGGAGAGCAGGGAAUGUAUAAACCAGUUUUGUUUGGCAAAAUAUUUCCAUUACAGAGAGAAAAAAAAAUAAUAAUGGAGAAAGAUUAUGUGGCUUCACUUAUUCUGCUAUUAUUAGGCCUUAAAAUGUCAUUUAGAUUCUCUACCUGCUCUGUCAGAUAACACACAAGGACUCUGGAUUAAAGGUACGGACAGUGUUUGUUUUAUGUGAUAUACAGUAUAUGUGAUAUACUGUAUAUCUAUAUAAAUGCAGCACUCCAUGAGCAGAGUUGGAUGAAUAUUCUGCAUACUGUUGGGAUUGUUAUAUCAGAGCACAUGCAGACACACUUACCAUUUACCAUAAAGUAUGACGGUGGCUACAGUAAAACAAGGUGCAUUCAAAGUUCGCCCUGAUGGAAAACGUCGCGCCUCCUGCCAGCAACACAAACACAAAGCCAUCAAGUCACAUUCAGUUAUCACACAUCCUUCCUUCCAUCAUGUCAGGUCAAACUGCAUUUUAUUGUUUAAAAUGCUAAUGUCAACCACAGCGAAUACCACACUGAAUGAGGAGCCAUGCGGCUCAAUGUAAAU